rnacentral:sRNA from 1 species
AACAUAUAAUUUUCCCCCCUUAAUAUAGCAAAGAUCACGAAAAGGCCCGAAAAAAUACAUUUAGUUCAAAAUUUGGAGUAGAAAAAAAAAAUAUAAGAAUUCCAUUUUCCUUCCUCUGUUAUCGGAGAGCUCUCUUUGGGCUUUCCGAAAAGGUAUCACAUGCCAAGUUUGGCCUCACGGUCUAAAAGAUAUAAAGUCAUACAUUAUUAACAAAACAAAAUAGAGAAAAACCGAAAAAAAGAAGGAUGCAACACGAGGACUUUCCGGGAGGUAAUCUAUCCUAGUACUACUCUCGCCCAAGCACCCUUAACUGCGGAGUUCUGAUGGGAUCCGGUGCAUUAGUGUUGGUAUGAUCGCAUGUGUUACUACAUGCAAUGUAACCGUAUCUAUUCUUUUUUAAAGACUUUAUGAUCCAUUUGCCGUGGGUCCCACCAGCUAUGUAGGAAUAUUCUAUCUUCUUUAUAAGAGCUUUGAUACAUGCAAAAUAUUGGAAAACAACGUCCGAACAUAUAAUUUCCCCCCCCCCCCGUAAUAUAGCAAAAAUCACGAAAAGGCCCGAAAAAGUACAUUUAGUUCAAAAUUUGCAGUAGAAAAAAAAACAAUAGAAGAAUUUCAUUUUCCUUCCUCAGUCAUCGGAGAGCUCUCUUUGGGCUUUCCAAAAAGGUAUCACAUGCCAAGUUUGGCCUCACAGUCUAAAAGUUAUAGAGUCAUACAUUUUUAACAAAACAAAAUAGAGAAAAACCGAAAAAAGAGGGAUGCAACACGAGGACUUUCCCGGAGGUAAUCUAUCCUAGUACUACUCUCGCCCAAGCACCCUUAACUGCGGAGUUCUGAUGGGAUCCGGUGCAGUAGUGCUGGUAUGAUCGCAUGUGUUACUACAUGCAAUGUAAUCGUAUCUAUUCUUUUUUAAAGACUUUAUGAUCCAUUUGCCGUGAGUCCCACCAGCUAUGUAGGAAUAUUCUAUCUUCUUUAUAAGAGCUUUGAUACAUGCAAAAUACUGGAAAACAAUGUCCGAACAUAUAAUUUUCCCCACGUAAUAUAGCAAAGAUCACGAAAAGGCCCGAAAAAGUACAUUUAGUUCAAAAUUUGGAGUAGAAAAAAAAACAAUAGAAGAAUUUCAUUUUCCUUCC